AUGGAUGCAGUGAAGACGAUGGCGAUUCUAGCAGAAAUGAAAGCCAAUGAUCCUGACUUCAAUUACACGGUGGAAGUGGAUGGGGAGAGCAGAGUGAAGACACUAAUGUGGGUAACAAGCAGAGGUUUUGACCAGUACAGGUGUUUCGGAGAUGUAAUCACAUUUGAUACAACUUACCGCACUAAUCUUUAUGACAUGCCAUUUGGUUUGUUCGUUGGUGUAAACAACCACUUUCAAAGCAUAAUUUUUGGUGGUGCCAUGAUGAGAGACGAGAAGGAGGACACGUUCAAGUGGAUAUUUAAAGAGUUCAUCCAUAUGGUCGGUGGGAAACACCCACAGACAAUCCUUACUGAUCAAGUGCGGGCAAUGGACCUGGCAAUCGAGGCCGAACUACCAAACACAGUACACCGUUGGUGCAGGUGGCAUGUUUUGAAAAAGGCAAAGGAGUCGAUGGGUGUGUUGUGGAGCAAGAACAGUGACUUCAAAAUGGAGUUCCGGAAGCUAGUCCAUCACAUGAUCACGAAGGAAGAAUUUGAAGUUGGUUGGCAGCAAAUGCUUGAAAAGUACUCCUUGAACAAGCAUCCAUUCUUGACGCAGAUAUACGAGGUGCGCCAUAAGUGGGCAAAGCCAUAUUUUAGCACACAGCGGAGUGAGGGUGCAAAUCACAUGUUGAAAGGUUACGUGCCGCCAGGGUGUCCUAUGCACCUGUUUUUGAAACAAUUUGAGAAACUGCAGUUUGACAGGGAGUCUGAGCAAAGCUUCCAGGAGAAGAGAACAUUACUGAGUGGUGUGUCACUUAGACGUAACCUGCCAUUAGAGGGGCAUGCUAACAAGGUGUACACGAGAGCUAUGUUUGAGAAGUUCGGUGAAGAGCUAUAUUAG
rnacentral:rRNA from 1 species